rnacentral:tRNA from 3 species
GGGUAAUUAGCUUAAUGGAAAAGCGGUAUUCACUUUUUUCUUUACGUUCAGACGGUUUGUGAUUGUUUUCAGUAGGAAUACAGAUACAGGUUCGAAUCCUGUAUUACCCA